rnacentral:tRNA from 1 species
GAACUCAUAGCUCAGUUGGUUAGAGCGCCACAUUGACAUUGUGGAGGUCGGUGGUUCGAGUCCACCUGAGUUCACCA